CCUUAACAUGCAAGUCGAACGGCAGCACGGGCUUCGGCCUGGUGGCGAGUGGCGAACGGGUGAGUAAUACAUCGGAACGUGCCCUGUCGUGGGGGAUAACUAGUCGAAAGAUUAGCUAAUACCGCAUACGACCUGAGGGUGAAAGCGGGGGACCGGUAACGGCCUCGCGCGAUAGGAGCGGCCGAUGUCUGAUUAGCUAGUUGGUGGGGUAAGAGCCUACCAAGGCGACGAUCAGUAGCUGGUCUGAGAGGACGAUCAGCCACACUGGGACUGAGACACGGCCCAGACUCCUACGGGAGGCAGCAGUGGGGAAUUUUGGACAAUGGGGGCAACCCUGAUCCAGCAAUGCCGCGUGUGUGAAGAAGGCCUUCGGGUUGUAAAGCACUUUUGUCCGGAAAGAAAUCCCUUGCCCUAAUACGGCGGGGGGAUGACGGUACCGGAAGAAUAAGCACCGGCUAACUACGUGCCAGCAGCCGCGGUAAUACGUAGGGUGCGAGCGUUAAUCGGAAUUACUGGGCGUAAAGCGUGCGCAGGCGGUUUUGUAAGACAGGCGUGAAAUCCCCGAGCUCAACUUGGGAAUGGCGCUUGUGACUGCAAGGCUAGAGUAUGUCAGAGGGGGGUAGAAUUCCACGUGUAGCAGUGAAAUGCGUAGAGAUGUGGAGGAAUACCGAUGGCGAAGGCAGCCCCCUGGGACGUCACUGACGCUCAUGCACGAAAGCGUGGGGAGCAAACAGGGAUUAGAUACCCUGGUAGUCCACGCCCUAAACGAUGUCAACUAGUUGUUGGGGGAUUCAUUUUCUUCAGUAACGUAGCUAACGCGUGAAGU
rnacentral:rRNA from 1 species